ACUCACGAAUGCUGAGAUCCCAGGCAAGGAUGACCUUCUCUAAAAGGGACACAUGAAUACCAAGAUAUUGGAGACUUGAGCAAAUACUAUGAAUCUCUCAAGGAGCUAUGGAUUACCUUAAAAGGCUAGACAACAGAGCCACGGCACAGGAAGUCUGCCCUGGAUGCUAUCCUGCUGGGAAUUGGCCCUCUGAAACAGAUCCAUCCACCCGAUGAGUCAUGACAUUAAAAAUGAUGAAGGAAAUGGACUGGUCCCCAGACAAACAGCUCGGGGCAAUACGAUUCCUGCAUCCAAAGGACUAUGGGUUACAGACACCUCUCUCUUCUGGGAUACAACGUGUAAAAGCCGGAUUGAGAUCUCUAUGCCUGUUCUUCAACUGCUGUGGCUACCACUAUUCCAAGAGACAGAAUAAGAAAGUUAAAGACAACAAGAAAUGGGUCUGUAAGGCCCGAAGUGAGUGGUGUGGCAAACGACUGGGCUCAACACAUGAAUAUAAGGGUGAGAGGGGAAAAGCCUUGUGACUAAGUCCUGUGAUUUGGGGAUUGGGUCCAAAGCAUAGCCCAGCCCUUAUUUACUAACAUCAGAGUGAAGACAAGAACUAACUUUGCCUACAUUUUGCAGCUAAUCCAUUCAGGAACAGACUAAGUCUCGUCCUGACCUACUUGUCGUUUUUCUGUAAAGACCACUCGAGGUUUUAUCAACUUGAUCAACAGGUAUGUUCAUAGUAAACCCGAGUAACCAUUUUUGUACAGUGAAUAAAGUAUUUUUAAUAAUCCAGA
ensembl:lincRNA 1500015L24Rik RIKEN cDNA 1500015L24 gene